GGGACUGUGGCUUCGUGGUAGAGUGCUUGCCUAGCAUGCAAGAAGCCCUGGGUUCGAUUCCUCAGUACCA
rnacentral:tRNA from 1 species